rnacentral:rRNA from 2 species
UACGAAGGGGGCUAGCGUUGCUCGGAAUUACUGGGCGUAAAGCGCACGUAGGCGGGUUCUUAAGUCGGUGGUGAAAUCCUGGAGCUCAACUCCAGAACUGCCUUCGAAACUGGGAAUCUUGAGUCCGGGAGAGGUGAGUGGAACUGCGAGUGUAGAGGUGAAAUUCGUAGAUAUUCGCAAGAACACCAGUGGCGAAGGCGGCUCACUGGCCCGGUACUGACGCUGAGGUGCGAAAGCGUGGGGAGCAAACAGG